rnacentral:lncRNA from 1 species
CUUGGAACAGAUCAUUUUCUGAAGACGUAACUCUGAGUGGUCACAGGGACAGUGUGGUGGACAGUGUGUCACGUCAUGUGUGGUCCCAGGCCAUGCGGGGCUCAGAGCCUGUCCAAAGCAGCAGUGGCACGUGCCCACGCCUGAGUCCCCUGUCAGCCAGCGGCCGAGGUGGGGGACCGGGAGGCUUCAGGCCCAGGCCCUGCAGACGCCUUGGCAGGGCCCAGCGUGUCCCCCUUCAGGAGGGCCCCUCCUCUCGGGGCGCCUGGAAGGCCCGCAUGCCGUCGUCCUUCCUGAAGGACGGCCCUGAGUCCAGAGAGAGUGGUGAUCAGGUGGGCAGUCUGCUGAGGACAGCGAGGGGGAGGGCUAGUCCUGCCCUCAUCCCCUGUGGCUCUCCAGGCACCUGGUCACCUGGCCAUGGCCCCUGCCAAGGGCCUGCACCAGGUGGAACAGGAAACCCCACCGCGCUGUGGGUUGAACAAAGCCAGCG